rnacentral:rRNA from 1 species
CCUACGGGUGGCAGCAGUCGGGAAUAUUGCACAAUGGGGGAAACUCUGAUGCAGUAACGCCGCGUGAAGGAAGACGGUUUUCGGAUUGUAACCUGCUGUUCAUAGUGAAGAAUAAAGACGGUAACUGUGGAGUAAGCUACGGCUAACUACGUGCCAGCAGCCGCGGUAAUACGUAGGUAGCAAGCGUUGUCCGGAAUUAUUGGGUGUAAAGGGCGCGUAGGCGGGAAAGCAAGUCAGCUGUGAAAUCUACGGGCUUAACUUAUUGACUGCAGUUGAAACUAAUUUUCUUGAGUACAGUAGAGGAUGGCGGAAUUCCGAGUGUAGCGGUGAAAUGCGUAGAUAUUCGGAGGAACACCAGUGGCGAAGGCGACCUUCUGGACAUUAACUGACGCUGAGGCUCGAAAGUGUGGGGAGCAAACAGGAUUAGAUACCCUGGUAGUC